rnacentral:rRNA from 1 species
GGUUGAUCCUGCCAGUAGUCAUAUGCUUGUCUCAAAGAUUAAGCCAUGCAUGUCUAAGUAUAAACAACUUUGUACUGUGAAACUGCGAAUGGCUCAUUAAAUCAGUUAUAGUUUAUUUGAUAGUACCUUACUACUUGGAUAACCGUGGUAAUUCUAGAGCUAAUACAUGCUACAAAGCCCUGUACGGGGCGGUAUUUAUUAGAUUAAAAACCAGACUGGGGCAACUCAGUUCGGGUGAUUCAUGAUAACUUUUCGAAUCGUGUGGCCUUGCGCCGACGAUGGUUCAUUCAAA